rnacentral:tRNA from 2 species
ACCUGGCUGGUUCAGUUGGAAGAGCAUGUGACUCUUAAUCUCAGGGUCAUGAGUUCGAGCCCCAUGCUAGGUG